rnacentral:rRNA from 1 species
GACGAACGCUGGCGGCGUGCCUAAUACAUGCAAGUCGAACGCAGUGGGGACGGGUGAGUAAAACGUGGGUAACCUGCCAUCAGAGGGCAUAACACUUGGCAACAGGUGCUAAACCGCUACUGAUGGAUGGACCAGCGGGGCAUUGGCUAGUGGGUGGGGUAACGGCUCACCAAGGCCACGAUGCAUAGCGGACCUGAGAGGGUGAUCGGCCACACGGGAACUGAGACACGGCCCAGACUCCUACGGGAGGCAGCAGUGGGGAAUCUUCGGCAAUGGACGAAAGUCUGACCGAGCAACGCCGCGUGAGUGAAGAAGGUCUUCGGAUCGUAAAACUCUGUUGUUAGAGAAGCGGUAUCUAACGAGAAAGCAACGGCUAACUACGUGCCAGCCGCCGCGGUAAUUC